rnacentral:rRNA from 1 species
UACGUAGGGAGCAAGCGUUGUCCGGAAUCAUUGGGCGUAAAGCGCGCGUAGGUGGCCACAUAAGUCCGCUGUGAAAGUCAAAGGCUCAACCUUUGAAAGCCGAUGGAUACUGUGUGGCUAGAGUACGGAAGAGGCGAGUGGAAUUCCUGGUGUAGCGGUGGAAUGCGCAGAUAUCAGGAGGAACACCAAUAGCGAAGGCAGCUCGCUGGGACGUUACUGACACUGAGGCGCGAAAGCGUGGGGAGCGAACAGG